rnacentral:tRNA from 1 species
GGGGAUUUAGCUCAGCGGCAUAAGCACCUGCCUUGCAAGCAGGUAGUCAUGAGUUCAAUUGUUCAAUCCCUG